rnacentral:lncRNA from 1 species
GGAACGCAUUCUAUAGACCAGGCAGUCCUCGAACUCCCGGAGAUAGGUCUGCUUCUUCCUCCCCAAUGCUGGGACGAAAAGCGUGCGUCACCAUGCCUUGGCACAGAAAGGUGACUAGCAUGCAGAUAUUCGCACCCUGACUUGGUUUGGCUGCCUGACUACUGACAUGGCCCACCGGGGUGGGGAGAGGGACUUCCAGACUUCAGCUCGUCGGAUGGGUACCUCCCUGCUUUUCCAGCUUUCAGUGCAUGAGCGGGAACUGGACCUUGUUUUUCUGGAUCAUAGCUAUGCAAAACCGUGGAGUGCCCACCCCGAUGCCAGCAGCGCCCGCCCCACCCGCAUGCUCUUUGUAACUCCCCGUCGGCAGCAGGAGAAUACUAUGUGAGUUUGAGA